rnacentral:SRP_RNA from 1 species
UGUCGGUCCCCUCGCGACGAUAAACCGUGAACCCGGUCAGGCCUGGAAGGGAGCAGCCGCAGCGGUGGAUUCGGGCGCCGGGGUGUGGCUGGCAGGG